rnacentral:rRNA from 1 species
AAGUGAAGUAGAGGACAGUGGCGGACGGGUGAGUAACGCGUGAGGAACCUGCCUUUCAGAGGGGGACAACAGUUGGAAACGACUGCUAAUACCGCAUAACACAUAGGAGUCGCAUGGCUCAUAUGUCAAAGAUUUAUCGCUGAAAGAUGGCCUCGCGUCUGAUUAGCUAGUUGGUGAGGUAACGGCCCACCAAGGCGACGAUCAGUAGCCGGACUGAGAGGUUGAACGGCCACAUUGGGACUGAGAUACGGCCCAGACUCC